GUGGAUGAUGGGAAAAGUAUAAAGGAAAUGUCACAGUUCAAGGUCUUUUCACUGUUGACUUGUGUAACUGUGUCAAUGGUUUGUAAUUUCAAUAAUUGCAACAUCUU